rnacentral:tRNA from 3 species
GGUCCAUUAACUCAGCUGGUUCAGAGUGUCACGUCGACAACGUGGAAGUCACUGGUUCGAAUCCAGUAUGGACCA